GCUUCUCCUGAGGGCAGACCUUGUUAAGAAGAACAAAAUGCUCUGGCGUAUUUCAAAAUGCCUCCUUUUCCCCACCCACUACCAGAGGCAUGGAUAGUCACCCUGAGGACCUGUGAGAGCUCCAGGAGCUUAAACAAAAUUGGGGAGCGAGGAAGAGGGGAUGGCUAGGUCCCUCUGACUUGUCCACACUGAUCCUUCACAUUGACCUAUCCUGGUAGUUGUUCCAUUGGCGGCUUCAGCAGCUACUUUCUGCUCUGGUAAGUUGUGAUUCUCUAUAUUGACGUGCUUUCAGUCCCUCCGAUUUUGGAGGCGGUAGUAUGCCCAAUAACCUUACUUCUUUUAUGGAUCCUAUGAAGAAGAGCUUUUGAUUUUCAGUUUGUCUAGCUUUUUACUUGUUAGGACUGAGUAGCAACUUCCAAGAUUUUUACAUGCCAGUCUGGAAACAAGAAGUCAACAAACAUCACCACUGAAAAUUUUGAAUAAGGUUAUGACCUCCCAUUAGAUUGUUUCACCAUGGCCUCAAUGUAAAACAUUCUUGGAUUUUUGAAGCAUGGAUUUUUGCCAUGCAUUGCAUCCAUUUUCAAGGCUUUUUUUUUUUUUAAAGGAUGGUUAAGUCUGUCAAUUAUUUACACUUUAGAAAAAGUAAAUUAAUUACAUAAUAACAUCUGAGAGAGAGGCUGAGCAUGGUGACUCACACCUGUAAUCCCGGCACUUUGGAAGGCCAAGGCAAGAGGAUCACUUGAGGCCAGGAGUUUCAAACCAGCCUAGGCAACAUAGUGAGAUCCCGUCUCUAAAAAAAAUUUGUUUUAAUUAGCCAGGCAUGGUGGCAUGUGCCUGUAGCCCUAGCUACUUGGGAGGCUGAGGUGAACUGUGAGAUCAGAAGGUCGAGGCUGCAGUGAACUGUGAUCACACCACCACACUCCAUCCUGGGUGACAGUCAGGCCCUGUCUUUCAAAAAUAACACCUGAGAUCAGCAAAGACUAGAUGCAUUUUUAAUAGAAAAGGAAGGAAUAGCAAGCAGUCUGGAUAGUGCUUUGGACAACCAAAAACCUUUGUAAAGUACCUUUUGGGUUAGAGGGGUCAGAGAAUAAGAUUUAGAAAGUGAGAAGGGAGUAAGAAAUCUUAGACCAGCUUAUUGAAGUGGGGAAAAAAUUAAUUUAAAAAUUUUAAAAGAUUUGGCCAGGUGUGGUGGCUCAUACCUGUAAUCCUAACACUUUGGGAGGCCAAGGCAGGUGGAUUGCCUGAGCUCAGGCAUUCAAGACCAGCCUGGGCAACACGGUGAAACCCCGUCUCUACUAAAAUACAAAAAAAAAUUAGCUGGGCAUGAUGGCGGGCACCUGUAAUCCUAGCUACUCAGGAGGCUGAGACAGGAGAAUUGCUUGAAUCUGGGAGGUGGAGGUUGCAGUGAGCCGAGAUCGUGCCACUGCACUCCAGCCUGGGCGACAGAGUGAGGCUCCAUCUCAAAAAAAAAAAAAAAAAAAA
rnacentral:lncRNA from 1 species